GGCCUCGUAGCUCAGUUGGCAAGAGCGUUGACUCUACUAAAGCCUUCCCCUUGCUAGCGUGGGUUCAAAUCCCACUGAGGCCA
rfam:Schistocephalus solidus strain NST_G2 genome assembly, scaffold: SSLN_scaffold0000038